GCUGAGCCCUUCCCUAGGAGGCUGGGUCACAUCGCAUUCUCCUUCUCCUGGAAGGCUUCGCCUACGGCCCCAGGAAGUCCUCCUUCCGGUAGCCCUUCUGCAGCGGANNNCUCGGUGCAGCUUGUUGUGCUGCCACAGGUUGGCCAAGAGGCUGGAGGCCGCCCGGGAGGACUUCUCACUGUCAGGGCUGGGGGGGGGGGGGCAGGCGGGACUGGCUACCACGAGGUUGUUGAGGACAGCUAUGAUGUUUAUCAGCACGUCGGCUGGAGGAGACUUCUCACCCACGCUGCCAGGCAGCUUCUCGAUCAGGUGACUCACCAGCUUGGUGGCUGCCAGGAGGUCGGGGAGGGGGGUCUCCACUGCCCCUCGAGCUGGCGAGCCUGCCUGUCCACUGACUCUGGCCUCCCAGAAGCUGGCCCCAGGGUGGCAGUAAAGGCAGAGUCCAGGCGAGCGCCCGGUCCACAGGGGAGGCGGAACCCAGGCUGCUGGACGGCCGACUCACACAUCUCAUCCUUGUUCCUGGCGUUGCGGGACAGGUUUCGGAUGAGGCCUGUCAGUGAGCGCAGCUGGUGGUGGUCAGCGGUCCGAACUCGGUCCAGCAGCGGGUUCAGUAUGCGCUCCUGCUCUAGAGCCAGCCGGCUCAGCACCCCCGCCCACUGCCGGCAGGAGGGGGCUGGUGAGCGAGGUGCUUGGCGCCCCAAGCCACCCGCGGCUCAGGCCCUGCCAGCCCAGACCUCCUGGCGCCUCCCUCGAGUCCGGCACAGAACCCAGGUCCUCAGGAGCCAAGGCCCCUGCCGUCUGGGGCGCUGACCUCACGCUCCCGCUGCUGCUUAGCGGCCCCUGCCUUCCCAUCCUGCCCAGCCCGGCCCCACCGCCUCACCCUGCGGUCCCCCGCGGUGACGUUCUGCAGCGCGCCGGCCGCCGCCUCCGUCGUGUGCCGGUUGAGCUCACAGCGCUGCAGCAGCCGGUUGUACAGCCCCACGAUCUGGGGGCUCCACAACCACUCGAGGCCCUUGGGGUCCUUAGACACCUCAGCAAAGGUGAGGGCGUCGGCCGUGAGGGGCAGCUGGGCAGGAGAGCAUGGAGGGUUAGCCGAGGUUGCCUGGGACCCCUGCUUCUGCCCGCCCGCCCCAGUCUGGGCCCACCUCUCGGAGCCGCCGGCUCUGUGGAGUGAAGCAGCCCACCGCCUCGCCCGGGGGUGCCCCCAUGUCCUGGCGGCCCCGGCCCUCCAGCCGCUGAAGGGCUGAGGGUGGCAUCUCGUCGUACAGGCNNNNNNNNNNNNNNNNNNNNNNNNNNNNNNNNNNNNNNNNNNNNNNNNNNNNNNNNNNNNNNNNNNNNNNNNNNNNNNNNNNNNNNNNNNNNNNNNNNNNCCGGGGCGGGGGCAGGCGGGCCCCCCCGGGGCCCCCGGGCCCAGGCCGGCCCUCACCUUAUCCUCACACUUGCCCACGUCCAGGGCGUGGUUGAUGUAGGUGACCAGCGCGUCCACCAGCCCGUGGCACUCACGCAUUUUCUGGCGAGUGGCCUGGGAGGCGGAGCUGAGGUUCCUGCGGGUGGAGACAGGUGAGAGGCCUGUGCAGGGACCCCAGGCAGAGCCACCCCACAGCGAGCUGAGCCCAAGGCUGAGCUCCUCCCCAGCCCCGCGCUGGGCCCACCCCCAGCACCUCCUGCUCCUGGUUCCUGAUGGACACUGUCGCUCCCACGCUUUUGCACACCUACCCCCAACCACUCCUCAAAUUGUCCGGGGUGAGGGCAGGUGAGAAAUGUCAGAUCAAGUCCCUGAUUUAAAGAAACCCGAACCUGCAGUCUGUUGACAUCUGGCUGGGCAGGGGACACCUGGUGACCCACUCCACUCGUGGGUCAGCACCUCUGCCUUGCUGGGUCCGUCCACGUCCCCCAGUGACCCCGUCCCCACCAACCCAGUGGCUCCGCCUCGUCCCUUGGACCUCAGGGCCCCACGGCCACCCGGCGCACCUGAGGAAGCCGGUGGCAUUGUAGAAUAUCUCGGCUUCAGAGGCGUUCUGCUGGAUGAGGGGCGGCCCGCCUGCUCCCGACAGGGGGCUCAGCACCAGAUCUGUGAGCUGCUCCAGCGUGUCCCGGGCCAGGCGGUCCUUCAGGUGGUCGCUGGAGGACAGGUUCCACAAGAUCCCUGUGGCGGGUGGGCCACGGUUGUGGUCAGGGACCACCUCUGGGGACCUCUGAGGCCUCCGGCCCCUCUGUCUUUCUCAGGUGGUAGGGAGAAGGCUCCUGACCUCUCCCUGCGGGGCACUGCCAGCCUCACCCGCCAGCCUUCCUGGGGACAGCCUGGGUGUGACCCAGAGGGUCAUGGGGCUGCAGCAGGGCAGAAACGAUGACCCUUGGGGACAUGCGCCCUGGGGUGGAGGCUGGCUCCAAAGAGAUGUGCCAAGGAAUGGCCGUGGGGGACGGUGGGAGGUGCGGGAGUUGGGUGGCAGAGGGGUGGGAUAGCAGGUGGGGACCAGGCCACCUGUGACGUUUUUGCGGAGCUCGUCGUCCUGCUCCCGCAGCGCCCGCAGCAGCUCGAAGAUGCCGUUCUCUUCCACCAGGGCCAGCUUGUUGUCCGCGUUGUCAUAGACGAGGUUGCGCAUGGCGCCUGUGGCAUGGCGCUGCACUUCCUGGUUGGCGUGGUUGAAGAGCUUCACCAGUCUAGGCACAGCCUGCAGACUGCGGGCCUGCGGGCACAGGCAUGCGGGUGUUAACAAGUGUGCAAACGAUGGAUGGGUGUGUGCAGAUACGUGCAGAUGUGCUCAGAGGUGUCCAGAUGUAGGCAGGUUAUGUACGUACAUAUGCAAAUGUUUGCAGGGCUGUGCAGGUGUGCGCAGAAGUGUGCAGGUGUGUGCAGAAGUGUGCAGGUGUGUGCAAAGGUGUGCAGGUGUAGGCAGGUGUGUACACUGAGAAACGUGUGUGUCUAUAUUCCAGUGUGCACAGAGGUGUGCACAUGUGUGCAGAGGUGUGCAGGUGUGUGCAGAAGUGUGCAGGUGUGUGCAGAAGUGUGCAGGUGUGUGCAGAGGUAUGCAGGUGUGUGCAAAGGUUGCAGGUGUAGGCAGGUGUAUACACUGAGAGAAGUGUGUGUCUAUAUUCAGGAGUGUGCAGAGGUGU
ensembl:lincRNA